GAACGGCAGUGGGGGCAACCCCAUGAGAGUGGCGAACGGGUGAGUAACACGUAGGUGAUCUGCCCUGAUGAUGGGGAUAGCCUGUGGAAACACAGGGUAAUACCGAAUACGCUGGCGAGACUUUGGUUUUGCCAGGAAAGGUGCUACGGCACCGCAUCGGGAGGAGCCUGCGGCUGAUUAGCUAGUUGGUGGGGUAAAGGCCUACCAAGGCGACGAUCAGUAGCCGGCCUGAGAGGGUGUACGGCCACACUGGGACUGAGACACGGCCCAGACUCCUACGGGAGGCAGCAGCUAAGAAUCUUCCGCAAUGGGCGAAAGCCUGACGGAGCGAUGCCGCGUGAUCGAUGAAGGUCGAGAGAUUGUAAAGAUCUUUUACUGGGGAGGAAUAACCAUCGGAGGGAAUGCCGGUGGGAUGACGUUACCCAGUGAAUAAGCCCCGGCUAAUUACGUGCCAGCAGCCGCGGUAACACGUAAGGGGCGAGCGUUGUUCGGAAUUAUUGGGCGUAAAGGGCACGCAGGCGGUUGUGCAAGUCUGAUGUGAAAGACCUGGGCUCAACUCAGGGAACGCGUUGGAAACUGCAUGACUAGAGUAUUAGAGGGGGAGUCGGAAUUCCUAGUGUAGGGGUGAAAUCUGUUGAUAUUAGGAAGAACACCGGUGGCGAAGGCGGACUCCUGGCUGAAUACUGACGCUGAGGUGCGAAAGCAUAGGGAGCAAACAGGAUUAGAUACCCUGGUAGUCUAUGCUGUAAACGAUGUGCACUUGGUGUUGGGCCGAUUAGGUUCAGUGCCGUAGCUAACGCGAUAAGUGC
rnacentral:rRNA from 1 species